CGCUUCCUGCCCCCGCCUUCCCUCCCCGCCCCAUUCUCUGUCCUAUUGAACACCUCGCCCAGCCUAGAGCUCACAUUCUCCCCCGGCUCCGGAUGGCGCUCCUGGAAGCUCUGCAGCUAGGCUCCACUUCAAAUGGGAAGAAGAUGGGCAAUGUCUCUAUGCCAUCUUCAGUGGGUAACGCUGUGGCAGUUAGCAUAGCCAGUGCUAGGGGAGAUUCAACCUCACUGGCUGUGGUGUGCGUGGACAACCGGAGUGAGGACAAAUCCCAUUCCAUCUGAAGACUGUCCCCUGCCAGAGAGCAAAUGCAGCUAGCACAUACAUGAUGCCAAGCGACACUAAGAGAUUUUCCAUGGCGGGAGCUCGGCUCUCCUGGUGUGGGGUUUACUUUGUUCAGAUGUUGUGCUGGGAUCUGAGGAGACCGUUGGGCUAUGACUCCACGGGGUGAUUGCUAAGGAUGGAGCCUCUGCGUGUACGUCUCAGAAGACCGUAAUUCUUACUGCUGGAAGGCUCCAUGGCUGGUUCCCUCUGAGUUAAGCUUCUAUUUCUGUAGCCCAGAUGUAAUGAGGAGGUGCCUAUGAUAGAUGU
rnacentral:lncRNA from 1 species